GAUGAACGCUGGCGGCGUGCCUAAUACAUGCAAGUCGAGCGAACAGACGAGGAGCUUGCUCCUCCGACGUUAGCGGCGGACGGGUGAGUAACACGUGGAUAACCUACCUAUAAGACUGGGAUAACUUCGGGAAACCGGAGCUAAUACCGGAUAAUAUAUUGAACCGCAUGGUUCAAUAGUGAAAGACGGUUUUGCUGUCACUUAUAGAUGGAUCCGCGCCGCAUUAGCUAGUUGGUAAGGUAACGGCUUACCAAGGCAACGAUGCGUAGCCGACCUGAGAGGGUGAUCGGCCACACUGGAACUGAGACACGGUCCAGACUCCUACGGGAGGCAGCAGUAGGGAAUCUUCCGCAAUGGGCGAAAGCCUGACGGGGCAACGCCGCGUGAGUGAUGAAGGUCUUCGGAUCGUAAAACUCUGUUAUUAGGGAAGAACAAAUGUGUAAGUAACUAUGCACGUCUUGACGGUACCUAAUCAGAAAGCCACGGCUAACUACGUG
rnacentral:rRNA from 1 species